rnacentral:rRNA from 2 species
AGCGGAGGAAAAGAAACCAACAGGGAUUGCCUCAGUAACGGCGAGUGAAGCGGCAACAGCUCAAAUUUGAAAUCUGGCGGCCUCUGGGCCGUCCGAGUUGUAAUUUGAAGAGGAUGCUUUUGGCGAGGCGCCUUCCGAGUGCCCUGGAACGGGACGCCACAGAGGGUGAGAGCCCCGUAUGGUUGGACGCCGAGCCUCUGUAAAGCUCCUUCGACGAGUCGAGUAGUUUGGGAAUGCUGCUCAAAAUGGGAGGUAAACCCCUUCUAAAGCUAAAUACUGGCCAGAGACCGAUAGCGCACAAGUAGAGUGAUCGAAAGAUGAAAAGCACUUUGAAAAGAGAGUUAAACAGCACGUGAAAUUGUUGAAAGGGAAGCGCUUGCGACCAGACUUGUGCCCGUCGAAUCAGCCGCCGCUCGUCGGCGGCGCACUUCGGCGGGCUCAGGCCAGCAUCAGUUCGCUGCAGGGGGAGAAAGGCGAUGGGAAUGUGGCUCUUCGGAGUGUUAUAGCCCGCCGCGCAAUACCCCUCGGCGGACUGAGGACCGCGCAUCUGCAAGGAUGCUGGCGUAA